UUUUUAGCUUUUUUUUCGUUCCUUUUACAUANAGCAGAGUGAAGACGCGCUGAAACUCGGUGAAGUUACCCAUAGUAGCCAGUGUAUCCAGGGCAUCGAUUAGCGUAAGCGAAUAGCUGCCCCAGGUGUCGUGGCCGUCGCAGGUAAGUGGGCGUAGCUCGUCAUAGUUGGAGGCGUGCGUCAGAUAGCCGUCGUAAGCGUGCUGGAACAUCCGCCGAACAUCCUCUCUGGGGGAGUUGAGUGACAUGAGAUUUUAUAGUCUAGUGCUUAACGGUAUUUGCCCAUACUAAUUACUAUUACUCACCGCAGCUCCAACAUGCGCAUCCGGCUUUAACCAGGUUUCGGUAAACACAAUAACAUGGGAUGAAAAUGUGAAACUAUCCAUAAAAAGAGCCUUGGAAGAGCAUUUUGGAAGAGCCAAAAGUCUCGAAAUGAGUUCGUAAACAAUGAAGAAAAAGAAGACAAUCAAAAAAUCGUGCGCUACACAACCUCUUUCGUCGACGUUUGGCAAACUACUGACAAGCUGGUGUUCCUCAAUGGCCUGGCCCAUGGUAGAAUUACUAAUAGGUAACGUCGUCAACUGAGUGGAGGAGCACCAGCUUAUUCAUCACGCUUGCUCGGCUCUCAGAGACAUGAAGAAACUAUAAGGAGGCCUCGUCGGUGGCAGAGUUACUCGCUGCUUUUUCUUUUGGUCAGUGCUCUGGAAACGGAAAGUUUAUGCAGUUAAGUCUAAAUAUGCAGCUUUAUUUAUUUAUAUGCAGACCUUUUUAGCUUUUUUUUCGUUCCUUUUACAUAAAUACAUAUGUACAUGUAAAGUUUUAGUACGUACCAAUGAAAUCCGCUGUUCAAUGAAAUACUAGUGUAUUUGUAUACCUUUUAUUCGAAGAGUAAAUAGGGUAUAUUGUAUUUGUUAAAAAAUGAGCCACGCCCCCUUCCGCCCCCACAAAAGAGCGAAAACCUCCCAAAUUUACAAUUUUGAAGAUACAAGAAAAGAUAAAAACGCCAUUCCGUAGGGAAUGACCAUAUCUAUCAGAUCGCCAAAUUGGCCACAAUGAAUAAAUGAAUCGUGUACCCAUGUGUAAUAUAAAUAAUGCGUAAUCAGUCAUUUAUUAACUGUCAAAAACUUUUAGAGCGGUAUAAAAUUGUUUUCAUAACUUUUUGAUUAUAUUGAAGACCUUGGUCUUGCCUUCAACCAUCUUCGACCAUCUACUAAAAGACAAUUUUUUCGCAUAAAAAAUAAUUUUUAAGUUAAAGUUAAAGAAGCACCCUUUAACUUUAAACUAUUAAAUAUAACAGUAAAAGCACAUUCAAAUUAGUUUUCAAUUCCAUUAUACCUCCUGAUUUUAGUUUUUAGUCUAAUUCUAUAGUCUCCCAUAUUGGACCGUUCAAUAAAUACUUUUACGCUCCAAAAACAAAAGUACCGCAACAUUUCUUUCAGCAAUUCAGUAUAUAAAUUAAGCUUACUGAUGGUAACUUUUUUGAAUUGAUUUAAUUUGAUUUUUAAUUUGUUUGAAUACUUGCACCCAGCACUACUAUUUUAUUGAACAGCAGAUUUUAUGGGUAUUUUUCUGAAGUCAUGUAAAACAAGAAGACGGAAUGCAAAUGUUACAGGACUUUUUCUGGGUUCUAAUGUGUACAUUUCAGGCUUUUCAAAAAGGUAUCACUUGGUCAAUUGGAAAGACUGGAAGGGUCCGAAAAUAGUGGUGAAAAUUGUGUGGCUCGGCACUAUUAUUUUAUUGAACACAACUGUACAUAUGUACAUACAUACAUACAUAUUAACAUAACCUCAACGAUGGAGUGUGGUAUGUGCGCAGAAAUAUCCAAAAGAAAACGAGAAUAGACGUGUGAGACGAUUUUUACGCGUCACAACUUUUAUACCCAGUACUCAUUACAUCUUCCCUUAGCGGUUAUUUUUCAAACUUAAAAUUUAUUCUUUAUCUGUCAUCUACAUCUACAACACUUCUCAGGCCAACAAGCUCCUUUAGCUCGCCCCCCUUUCCUAGAGCCACACGCUGCAGAGUCACGGCAGAGGCAGAGGAACGCGAGAAGCAGAGGCUGCUCACUGCAGAAGCAGAGUGUGAAUGAGAAAAUGUGGUGGAUUUAGCCACUGCAAAUUAAUUUCUUCAUUCUAUAAUAAUAAUCCAAUCGGAUCCCAAUUUGGUGAUCUGAUAGAUAUGGUCAUUCCCUACAGAAUGGUGAUUUUAGUUUUCUGUUAUCUUCAAAAUUGUAGGUUUAGGAGUUUUUCGCCCUUUUGCGUGGGCGGUGCUCAUUUUUUAAAUACACUUGUAACAGUGUGAGCAUACAGAAGUCUGGAUGCAAAAUUUGGUGGCUCUAGCUUUUAUAGUCUCUGAGAUCCAGGCGCUCAACAAGACGGACAGACAGCCGUAGACUCGGCUAUUGAUGCUGAUCAAAGAAUUCCUUCUGUGCGUUACAUACAACCGUUAUUCGCACAAAUAGCAACAAAUUUAAGUAAGAGUUGCUGAUGCCGUACCUUAAAGGUAUGAUUUGAAUAUAUAAAAAAUUAUAAUGAAAUAAUAUUCAAACUGAUCUGAUUUCUGUUUGAUAUUGUAUUUAUGUAGUUACAAAAAAAUAGUUAUAUGCGGUUUUUUUAUUAUUCAGAUAACAUACAAGGGAUUGAAGCACCAUUGGUUAAAAAAUGGAUAUGCACAAGGACAAUUUAUACAUGAUUACAGUUUUCUUUCUUUUUUUUGUCCCAUUGCCUAUUUUUGUCUAAUUUAAUAAACGCAAUGAAAUUGAAAAUAUAUAUUUUUGUUUAAAUAUGUAUGUUCUUUUCGCGUUCUUUGAGAACGCUCUUUUAUGCAUGCCACGGAUGUGCUGUGGAAUGAUUACAUUGAACAGUUCCGGAACGGUUCUUAAUAGGUUCCUGUGGCAAAGAUGUGUUCUGUAGUGCUGCUAUCGGAAACUGCACUGGAAGGAACUCUGAGCGAUUCACGAAGUUGAAAUUACAACAACGACCACUUCUACAUGCCUUCCAAUGGACGCGAACAAAAAGGUUGGAUUCCCACGUGUUUCAUCCCCUGUCAAUUUGAAGCGAAAACGUCACGCAUUGUGUACUCAUGCUUACUAAAGUACUCAAGCGACUUAGUCCAACUCAUGAAGCAACUAUAAAGGAGGGCUCGUCGGCUUUUUAGAGGGAAACAUAAAAAUGCUGUCAAUAAGUCCGAGUGAAAGGGCGUGCAGAGAGAGAGAGAGAGAGAGCAACUUUACAAUAAUAAGAGUACAAACUGGUCGUGGUCCCACCACGGUUUAUAGUUGCUUCAUGGUCCAACUGGGAUGGUCCGUUUUGACUGCUGUCUACGCACACAGAAGCACUGCAAAGCAUGUGCGUGUGUGCGUGCCGAAAACUGAUGUAGAUAAAUAUUAUAUAACUCCAUUAUAACUAUUGAACUAACUAUUAUAAUUCAGCCCCCCCCCCCCCACCCC
rnacentral:lncRNA from 1 species